GAUUCCCUGAGUAGCGGCGAGCGAAACGGGAUUAGCCCAAACCAAGAGGCUUGCCUCUUGGGGUUGUAGGACACUCUGUACGGAGUUACAAAGGAACGAGGUAGAUGAAGAGGUCUGGAAAGGCCCGCCAUAGGAGGUAACAGCCCUGUAGUCAAAACUUCGUUCUCUCCUGAGUGGAUCCUGAGUACGGCGGAACACGUGAAAUUCCGUCGGAAUCCGGGAGGACCAUCUCCCAAGGCUAAAUACUCCCUAGUGACCGAUAGUGAACCAGUACCGUGAGGGAAAGGUGAAAAGCACCCCGGAAGGGGAGUGAAAGAGAUCCUGAAACCGUGUGCCUACAAGUAGUCAGAGCCCGUUAACGGGUGAUGGCGUGCCUUUUGUAGAAUGAACCGGCGAGUUACGAUCCCGUGCAAGGUUAAGCAGAAGAUGCGGAGCCGCAGCGAAAGCGAGUCUGAAUAGGGCGCAUGAGUACGUGGUCGUAGACCCGAAACCAGGUGAUCUACCCAUGUCCAGGGUGAAGUUCAGGUAACACUGAAUGGAGGCCCGAACCCACGCACGUUGAAAAGUGCGGGGAUGAGGUGUGGGUAGGGGUGAAAUGCCAAUCGAACCUGGAGAUAGCUGGUUCUCUCCGAAAUAGCUUUAGGGCUAGCCUCAAGGUAAGAGUCUUGGAGGUAGAGCACUGAUUGGACUAGGGGCCCCUACCGGGUUACCGAAUUCAGUCAAACUCCGAAUGCCAAUGACUUAUCCUUGGGAGUCAGACUGCGAGUGAUAAGAUCCGUAGUCGAAAGGGAAA
rnacentral:rRNA from 2 species